rnacentral:rRNA from 1 species
AGCAGCCGCGGUAAUUCCAGCUCCAAUAGCGUAUAUUAAAGUUGUUGCAGUUAAAAAGCUCGUAGUUGAAUUUCGGAACCAAUAUGUCGGUCGUGCCUCGGUACGUACUGGUGUCAUUGGUUUCUCCCUUCUGAGGAUCCUUGAUGUCAUUAAUUUGGUGUCUUGGGGAAUCAGGACUGUUACCUUGAAAAAAUUAGAGUGUUUAAAGCAGGCAUACGCUUGAAUACAUUAGCAUGGAAUAAUGAAAUAGGACGUUCGAUUCUAUUUUGUUGGUUUCUAGGAUCGACGUAAUGAUUAAUAGGGAUAGUUGGGGGCAUUAGUAUUCAAUUGUCAGAGGUGAAAUUCUUGGAUUUAUUGAAGACUAACUACUGCGAAAGCAUUUGCCAAGGAUGUUUUCAUUAAUCAAGAACGAAAGUUAGGGGAUCGAAGACGAUCAGAUACCGUCGUAGUCUUAACCAUAAACUAUGCCGACUAGGGAUCGGAUGAUGUUAAUUUUUUAAUGACUCAUUCGGCGCCUUACG